CCUACGGGAGGCAGCAGUGAGGAAUAUUGGUCAAUGGACGGAAGUCUGAACCAGCCAAGCCGCGUGAGGGAAGAAGGUACUGCGAAUUGUAAACUGCUUUUGUACGGGAGUAAAGGCGCGGACGUGUCUUCGGAUGAGGGUACCGGAAGAAAAAGCAUCGGCUAACUCCGUGCCAGCAGCCGCGGUAAUCCGGAGGAUGCGAGCGUUAUCCGGAUUUAUUGGGGUUAAAGGGUGCGGAGGCGGAGUGUUAAGUUAGCGGUGAAAUGCCCGGGCUCAACCCGGGACGGGCCGUGGAAACUGGCGAGCUGGAGGUGGGGAGCGGUAGGCGGAAUGCGCGGUGUAGCGGUGAAAUGCUUAGAUAUCGGGCAGAACCCCGAUUGCGAAGGCAGCGUACCG
rnacentral:rRNA from 1 species